ensembl:lncRNA
UUUUUUUUUUUUUUAAAAGAAGAAGAAUCUUGGCAUAUGGUAACAAAAACUAUAUAAUUCUCUUGAUCUUUACUCUCUAUGCCAAUGUCUGUUUUACAGAUUAUGGCCUCAGCUACUGACAAAUCUGCUUAGUGAGUUUUUGGCUGACAAAUCUGGCAACACAAAUGCUGUCUGAAAUACAUUCAAAAGGCUAACCAUUUUCAUAAUAGCUACUUUACACAGCUUAGUAGGUUUCCCUUUAGGACACCAAUUUGAUUUUUUUAAAGUGACAGUGUUAAUUUUUAUGAUUACACACAGAACUGAGAUUUUUAUUUAAUACAGUGGGUCUUCGAAAGAUUUUCAAGGGGAUCAACCACUUUGCCAACAGACGGGUGUUACAGCAGGGGUGAUUAUAGUAAUUUUUCAUGUAAUUGGGAGUCACCAUUUGGUUGCUAUCUUUCACAUGCUUGUUGCCUCAUCAUAUAAUCCUUCAUAAUGGGGGUUUGUUGUGCGUCACAAGAAUGUGCCAAGCAGCCAGGAAAUAAUAAACAGAGGAACCCCCUGGCUCAUGGGUAGCACGAGCAUUUUAACAUCUGCCCAGCUUCUUUCAAUUGCAAUAAAUUUCAGCGGAUAACAGUGACCCAAUAUAUGAAGGCAUUUUGUUUUUUUUAGGACAAAAUCUUGAACAUCACACUUCAUUAUCUCAGCUACAGUGGCACAAUCUGUGAGGACACAACUUGCUGACAAAUGGCAUUGCCUAAUGUGAAAGAUCGUCAUUCAUCAGGAAUUAGGAGAGACAUCAAGUUCUUGCCCUGAGAUGUCUGGGCUCUCUGUGAACUGCCAGAGUUGUCCUAUGCAAUUAUCGGUUGCAGUUGCUUCCAUGAAAUUAUAAAUCACUUCAUUGGAAAUUCUGAAGCCAUGCCACCUCUGGUUGUGAUCUCAUCAGGCCUCCUCCAGCAAAGAAAUAAUAAACAGGGUCAGUUGACUACAGUAGGGGCUCUCACCACAUUCAGGCUGACAACACAGAACACGGGAGCACCUGCUUGAUGUCAAACCCGAGAAGUGCACCCUCAAAGUUACUGGAUCAGUAACCAAGGUAAUAUCAAGGGUUUCUGUAAAUUUUUGGUUUUAUUUGUAAAGAAACAAAGAUCCAGCUUUCAGUUUUCUUAAAUAAACAAGAAGAAAAACCACCAAAACCACCCAAUUUACCAUUAAAAUAAAUCCCCCUUUAAUAUGUUACUACUAGAAGAGCACAAUUUAUCACGCUUAAUUUUUCCUCUGACUUUUAGAUUUAUGCUUUUAAAUGUUGCCUCUUCAUCUUCCAUAGGCAAAAGGCUGGACAACAGCCUGGCUGAUAGAUGGAAGCCCUUUGGAUCUCUCUGUCCUAAAGGCAGCAGAGCAGCCCAUCACCCAGUGCAUUUCCCCUUGCCUGGAGCCAGGAAUUUCACUUCCUGGAUUGUUAGGAUGAGAGGGCCAUUUUAACAGCUAUGCUUCAGUGAAGUCUCCUCACAUUCCACCUACUUCUUGUUGACUAUGAAAAUGCAUACAAAUUCCCAUUCCAAUUCUGCCAAAGUUCUCUGAAAUGUGCACAAGCAAACUGUACUUGAAGGUGUGGAAUAAAGUCCCUGGCUGAAGAAUAAACACCUCUGGUGACUGCCCUGCUGGCAUUCCUGUCUUCCCCAACCAGCUCAAGAUCAGACAGCAUGUUUUGGCAAGUCUAAGUAGCCUCUUUCUUCAGUACUUGUAAACUAAUUCCAUAACAAAAUGCAGCCCAUGAUUGGCCUCUUUCAUCCUUCAUAGAGACACAUAAUACAGCACCAAUAUAUGUAUGUUUUUAAUUACACCAAAAAGAAAACUAAAUAACAACCAAAAAUACAAAAGGCACAUUUCACUCCAAUAAACUGGCUACCGCUCAAGCAGCAAAAGCUCUUUUAUAUUCAUAUAAAACACUUUCAAUUCCAGAAUCAUCCUAUAAAAAUUAAGAAGUUUAAGUUUUAUUGAACUUGGUAAGUUCAAACAUUAGCAUCCUAAACUUGACAACGUUUACCUGUUUUUUAUUUCCACUACUACAACAGUUUCAAUAUUCAGCAUGCCAGAAAGUUCUUGUCCUGUAACAGAAAUUGCAGAUCCCAGCAGCAAAAAGCAUUUGCACUUUCUUUACCAGAGCUUGGAAAGGUAGUCUGGGACAACAGGACAAACAUAUUAUCUUGAUGUUCCUGCUAGCUGAUGGGCUGUUAUUAACUGUUGAACUGCUUAAUUAGGUCUUCUAGUUAACAGGCUGUUAUGAUUAGAGGAGACAAUGCCUGUGCGUGGUUGAGCUAUUGCUUCAACCCAUUUGCAAAUUCAGAAGAAGCAUCACUCAAUUCGAGGGAGGAUCUCUCAGCAAGCUGAGAGCAGAGUUGCUUUCUCUUCUUCAGAACAAAACUCUCACUCCAGGCAAGAAUUCUCCAAAUCAAAUACAUCCCCCAAAUAAUAACAGAUCACCCUGUUUGGCACCUGGGGCAGAGCAGAGAUCACUGACCAGGGCCAACUGUGAAGUUUCAGGAGAGUAAUUUCACUGCUCUUGGGCUCCUCAGCUUGGUUUCCAUUUUCUCUGAGUUAACACUCACUCAGUCCACCUGAUUUUAAAUGAAAUUUUCCCUUUGCAUCUCAAUGGCACAGCACAAUCCUCUUCCUGCUAUUUUAGGCUCUUUCAUACUCUUUUUAGAAUUCCCCUAUAGAGAAGCUCCUUUCUACACUUUUCCUAUUUACCUUUUCUAGUCACCAGCUGGUGGUUUCAUCUCUUUCUAGAAACCACUCAGCCUCCCAAUUUAGUCCCACGUUCAUUCCAUUUCUCCUGGCCAGCUGCCACAUCUUCCAGGCCCACUUUGUCGUUCUCCUCUUAAAAGAUAUGAAACCUUGACACAAUCCCUGCUCAACUGUUUAGCAAACUGACCCCCUCCAGAAGACUGCAAAUUGUCCAAAAUUUCAGAAGGUACCAGCAAUUGCUUAUGGAACCAAUCACUGCUCGUUGUCACCCUUUCUUCUUACUUCUUAUAUUCAUCAUUUCUCCUUGGUUUUAUCCAGCCCCACAUGAGAGACCAUAACUACACUUGAUUUUAUAAUUAGAUAAAUAAUGCAUAACUACACAUUGGGAAAAACUUCCAAGGAAUUCCUGCUAAAUGAAGAUAACAUCAGAGGCUGCUGGGGGUGAGGGGGAAAUCAGGUCAAAUUACAUUCUGCAUAACCUUCAUAAUCCUCUUUAUUUUAACACAAAAAAACCCAGAAUAUUUCAAGGCAUCUGAUUAUUCCCAUCCAACUAUUCAGAUAUGUUACACAAACUUUUGCCUCAUUUUUAUAUAAGCACAGGUUAGGAAAAUCAUCAUCUGUACUGCAGAGCUAAAAUAGUGCUCCCUGGCCCUGGAAUACCCCAUUCUAAAACCCCCUGAGAGCAUAUCCUUUCCUUUGUGAGAAAAUGGACUUUUAUGUAAAAUACAUACUGCUAAGGAGCAAAUUUCUCUUAUUCACAGACUAGCCAGUAAAAGAAGAGUUUAGUUCCUUUCCACACAGAGUCUUGAUCUUUCUUCAGGUGGAAAUUAUGUACAAUAUGAGGUAGAUAUACCUGCUGAAAGACAGAAUGACUCUGGGAAAUUAUUUCAGAGAAAACAGGUGGCAACAAUUUUCAUCAGCUCCGGCUCUUUGCCACAACCCAGCAGUUUGAAGAUCUCAAUGCAAAUUCUCAGCUGCUGCCAUCAUUCCACUGACUUCAGUAUCAAUUGAUUUCAAUCACCUUACGUCCAGGGAUUUUUGUCUCUGAUUCCUGUUGUGUAAGGGACUGACUACUGAAAAUGCUGAAAUUAAUCUAACAGUAACAGAUCCCACACUUCUCACUCCAGCCACUAAAAUACCAAAACUACUUUAAAUAGUACAGUCCUAGAGUAACUUGAUGACAUAAAUUCCUGGCUGCGUACAGAACAAAACCCCUGCAUGUUUCAGCUCAUGGGAAUGGAUUCCAGACAAAUAAGGUUUGCCAGCUUGUUCAGGACACCAGGCUGGUUUCCCUUCCCAUUUCACUUGUUGCUGUCAGUCGGCUGUCAGAGACACAGAUUUUUCGAUAAAAAAUUAACUCAGACAUUAAAUCAUUAAGAGGUGUCUUGGCACAUUCAAAGCCUCUUUUGGCAAUCCAAAAAAUGAUACAAAGAACUCAGCAUCCAUUAGGGCCCUGGCCUGGGAAAUGUUAUUCAAUACCAAGAUGACACAAGCCUUGCACCUCACUUCCCUGGCCCUUAUUCCUUUUGCCUAUCCCAGUCUUCCUUAAUAUUUUAAGCAAUGCUUUCACACUGGCAAUUUAGUAAGUAAGAGCAAAAUCCAACACAGAAAUCUAAAGAAUAAAUUUCACCAUGUCUGAAAGUUCUAGAAAAAAAAUUGUUCCUAAUUUUGAAUUAUUUAUGAAGAUGGAAGAGCUGGAAAGUUUCACUUGUCAACCAGUACAUGCAAUUUUGCUUCCAAACUGAGGCAGUUUUAAAGCCCUCCCUCCAAAGGCAGGAGUUCAGUUGAAUUGUCAGGCACCACCAUUAGUGACCACACACAAAUUGAAGCCUUUUUCCACAUGUGCAGGCCAGACAGUAAUUUUUCUGUGCUGGAAAUUAAUGCUCUGGCUUCUUGACAGACAGGAAUUUUUCUUUAAGGUGACAGUUGUCUGGAGAAACAUAUUUUGCACUGUGCUUGGUUAAAUGAAGACUUCAGAAAAGGUUCUAAGAGGGCCUCUGAAUUAACUGUUAAAUACCACUAUUUCUGCAAUAAAACGGAUUUGCAUAGUAAGCCAUGACUGCACAUGUUGAUCUGCUUUAGCUAAAGCACUGCCAAAUUACCUGGACAAGGGGAUCAAAUGCACCCUCAGCAAGUUUGCAGACAAUAAGUUGGGUGGAAUGUUGAUCUGCUGGAGAGUGGGAAGACCCUGCAGAGGGAUCUGGACAAGCUAGAUCGAUGGGCCAAGGACAAUUGUAUGUGUACUCAGGGACACGCGUUAGGGGUGGUCCUAGCAGUGCUGGGUUAACAGUCAGACUCAGCCUUAAAGGGUCUUUUCCAAGCUAAAUGAUUAUAUGAAUGUUCAAAGAAAACAGUGUUGCUUUCUUGCUUCCUGGGAAUCUGAAAUGAAAUCUCUCAUAAAUACACAGGAGAAAAUAAAAAAAUUACAUCCAACUGUUAUAUCCUAAAGAACACUUAGUUCUGACUCUGAAGCCAUUGGUGCUACCUCCUGCAACAUCUGUCUGGUUUCCUCCACUACCCUCCAGUCUAUUUCUAAGAAUACAAACAUUGUCCCUGUCUGCUCAGGCUCCAUUGCUUCUGCUUCCUUCAGAGCAAGCUUAGUAAAAAUCAUCCUUCUGCUGCUGCUAAAAAGGCUGCAUCUGUCAGACACAGACAGCGCUGAAAGCUACACACAGGUCAAGAGUGUGAUUCAGCUCCUAUAAAGCAGAGUCUUGAUGUUGAUGUUAACAGAGACUGGAUCCAGAUCCAGAAGUUCUAAUUUUUCCUGCUGGAAGCCUUCCAAAACCUCCCAAAUGUCUGAGCUCAGGCUAAAAGAAUGAAGAUAAUCUCAAUAACCAAUAAAGAUACAAGUACACACACAAAUGGCUAUGGAAGGGGAAGGAAAAUAGGGGGAAAACAGGAAAAAUAGAAAGCCUUUUUCCCUGUGUAUCCUCAAUCAGUCUUUCUCCUGCUCUUACCUGACUGUCAGGCCAUGGCAUAGCACUGUGCACAGAAAUAUGUCAUCAGUGAGGUAAAACACCUGUUCUAUUUCAUUACUGCCCCUGCUGUGUUCUUAUUUGCACAGGUGUGAAUGAGGAUCCAAGGGGAAAGGCACUGGUGACUGGGGGCACCAUUCAGCACUCCCUAUUCCAGAAACUGUCACCAGCUCUACCCUGGCUACACAUUGUGCAGACACUGAAGAGCAGCUGCCAGAGCCCCAGCAUUUUCUUCCCACCCUCUUGCCAAGUGCACCUGCUGCCCAGAGCCCUCGCUCCACUCCCGUCAGAGUUUCUUGUUGCUUUUAUUCUCUUAUUUCCUCUUGUACCUGAAUUGUGCAAUGCAUUCCUGCUGCAGCAUCAGAAGGAAUAGUUAAUCCUUUUGAUUAGUGGAGGAUGGACAUUGCUGGUCAGUGACUGACAGGGCUCAGGCUACAUUCUGUUUUUCUGCCUGGCUCCAAAUUUUGGUGCUGCAUACACCUGAGGCAGAUGGAAGGAUGGAAGGGUUCACCUGGACAUUGCUGCAGCACUGAAACCUCAUCUGUGAUGGGUGUCUCCAGAUUGCUGCUAUUUUACAUCCUUGCUGCUGCUACCUUUAUGGAUCUGCUGAUCAUUGCUCACAAAGCAAGCUUCCAUCAUGAGCAUCCCAAAUCUGGAUUUUCUCAAAAAAGCAAAUAUUUGAAAACACAAUCCCUCCAGCCAUCUCUAAUUGCUGCAAAGUUCAAACCCAUCCAUCCUCAUCACGUAACAAAGGAAAAUGACACAAAAACAUCAAAAAUCACACUUAAGCAAUGCUGAUGGGCAGCAGCACAAAACCAAGGUGAACUUGUGAAUCACAGGCCUCGUUUGUCCUUUCCUGCAGUGAUCUUGUCUGUGCUGCCAGGGAUCUGUCACGUUCCCAGCAGCACUUGAACUCAGGGGUGUCUGUCUGCAAGUGCAUAAUACAAAGCCCAGCAAAGAGCCUUGAAGGUACAAGUAGUGGCACUCAAGAGAUCCAGUGAGCCUGCGGGGAGCAUGCUGCUCACUCUGAGGAGAACAAGUCUUUCAUGACAGUCACUGGUUUUUCUCUUCUUAAAGUUAAAAUUAUAAUAUAAAAUUAAAAAAAAAAAAAUCAAUGGCACAUCUGCACCAUUGCUGGUGCUAAAAGGAUCAGGCCCCUCUGGUGAUUUCAGAUGUUGCUCAUUUACUCAGAAAUUAAUCCUCCCUCCCC